GAUGAACGCUGACAGAAUGCUUAACACAUGCAAGUCUACUUGAAGCUAACUUCGGUUAGUGGAGGGUGGCGGACGGGUGAGUAACGCGUAAAGAACUUGCCUCACAGUUUGGGACAACAUUUGGAAACGAAUGCUAAUACCGGAUAUUAUGAUACUUCUGCAUGGAAGAAUCAUGAAAGCUAUAUGCGCUGUGAGAGAGCUUUGCGUCCCAUUAGCUAGUUGGAGAGGUAACGGCUCACCAAGGCGAUGAUGGGUAGCCGGCCUGAGAGGGUGAACGGCCACAAGGGGACUGAGACACGGCCCUUACUCCUACGGGAGGCAGCAGUGGGGAAUAUUGGACAAUGGACCAAAAGUCUGAUCCAGCAAUUCUGUGUGCACGAUGAAGUUUUUCGGAAUGUAAAGUGCUUUCAGUUGGGAAGAAGCAAGUGACGGUACCAACAGAAGAAGCGACGGCUAAAUACGUGCCAGCAGCCGCGGUAAUACGUAUGUCGCAAGCGUUAUCCGGAUUUAUUGGGCGUAAAGCGCGCCUAGGUGGUUAUAUAAGUCUGAUGUGAAAAUGCGGGGCUCAACUCCGUAUUGCGUUGGAAACUGUAUGACUAGAGUACUGGAGAGGUAAGCGGAACUACAAGUGUAGAGGUGAAAUUCGUAGAUAUUUGUAGGAAUGCCGAUGGGGAAGCCAGCUUACUGGACAGAUACUGACGCUAAAGCGCGAAAGCGUGGGUAGCAAACAGG
rnacentral:rRNA from 1 species